UGGGGAAUCUUGCACAAUGGGGGCAACCCUGAUGCAGCGACGCCGCGUGAGCGAUGAAGGUUUUCGAAUCGUAAAGCUCUGUCCUAUGGGAAGAUAAUGACGGUACCAUAGGAGGAAGCCCCGGCUAACUACGUGCCAGCAGCCGCGGUAAUACGUAGGGGGCGAGCGUUGUCCGGAAUUACUGGGCGUAAAGGGUUCGCAGGCGGCAUGGCAAGUCCGAUGUAAAAGGCGAAGGCUCAACCUUCGUAAGCAUCGGAAACUGUCAAGCUUGAGUGAAGGAGAGGCAAGUGGAAUUCCUAGUGUAGCGGUGGAAUGCGUAGAUAUUGGGAGGAACACCAGUAGCGAAGGCGGCUUUCUGGACUGCAACUGACACUGAGGCACGAAAGCGUGGGUAGCAAACAGG
rnacentral:rRNA from 1 species